GGGUGUAUAUCUCAAGUGGUAGAGCAUGUGCUUAGCAUGCACGGGGUCAUGGGUUCAAUCCCCAGUACCUCCC
rnacentral:tRNA from 1 species